CCAGAUAUGAAAUCCACCUAAACGUCCAUCCACAGAUGAUAAAGAAAAUGUGGUGCAUAUAUAUAUACACCAUGGAAUAUUAUUCAGCCUUUAAAAAGAAGCAAAUCCUAUCACUUGCAUCAAGAUGGAUGGAACCGGAAGAUAUUAUCUUAACUAAAAUAAGCCAGGCCCAGAGAAACAAAAACCACACAUUCUUGUUCAUAGGUGGAAUCUAAAAAUGUUGAUCUCAAAGAAGAUGAGAACAGAAUAGGGGUUACUAGGAACUGGGAGGGCAAGAGAGAGAGGAUGGGGCUGGGGUUGUGGCUCAGAGGUAGAGCACUCGCCUAGCAUGCACGAGGCACUGGGUUUGAUCCUCAGCACCACGUAAAUGUAAAAUAAAGAUAUUGUGUCCACCUAAAACUUAAGAAUAAAUAUUUAAAAAAAAAAGAGAGAGGAUGGAGAGAGAUCUGUUAACAGGUAACACAUUAGAUAAGAGGAGGAGUUCUGGUGUCCCAUUGCAUGUAGGGCAGCUGUAGUUAACAACAGAGGAUGAUGAUGCUCAAAUAGAUGGGGAUUUAGCUCAGGGGUAGAGCUCUUGCCUGGCUCAAGUGAGGCUCUGGAUUCCAUCUGCAGUACUGCCAAAAAAGAAAAAAAAAAAAGUUGGGAGCCGUGGGGCAAACCUGGAAUCCCAGCAUCUUGGGAGGCUGAG
rnacentral:lncRNA from 1 species